GGGGCAACCCUGUGAGUACAGUGGCGUACGGGUGAGUAACACGUGGGUAAUCUACCCUUUAGUGGGGAAUAACGCUGGGAAACCGGCGCUAAUACCGCAUAAGCCUGAGAAGGGAAAGCAGCAAUGCGCUGAAGGAGGAGCCCGCGGCCGAUUAGCCAGUUGGUAGGGUAAAGGCCUACCAAAGCAAAGAUCGGUAGCCGGCCUGAGAGGGCACACGGCCACACUGGCACCGAAACACGGGCCAGACUCCUACGGGAGGCAGCAGUGGGGAAUCUUGCACAAUGGGGGAAACCCUGAUGCAGCGACGCCGCGUGAGCGAUGAAGCCCUUCGGGGUGUAAAGCUCUUUCGGCAGGGACGAUAAUGACGGUACCUGCAGAAGCAGCUGCGGCUAACUACGUGCCAGCAGCCGCGGUAAUACGUAGGCAGCGAGCGUUGUUCGGAGUUACUGGGCGUAAAGGGUGUGUAGGCGGCUCUCUAAGUUUGGUGUGAAAUCUCCCGGCUCAACCGGGAGGGUGCGCCGAAAACUGGAGGGCUAGAGUGCGGGAAGGGAGAGUAGAAUUCCUGGUGUAGCGGUGAAAUGCGUAGAUAUCAGGAGGAAUACCGGUGGUGCAGACGGCUCUCUGGACCGCGACUGACGCUGAGACACGAAAGCGUGGGUAGCAAACAGGAUUAGAUACCCUGGUAGUCCACGCCCUAAACGAUGCAUAUUUGGUGUAGGUCAUUCAGUUGAUCUGUGCCGGAGCUAACGCGUUAAAUAUGCCGCCUGGGGAGUACAGCCGCAAGGCUGAAACUC
rnacentral:rRNA from 1 species